rnacentral:rRNA from 1 species
GUAGUCCUGGCCGUAAACGAUGAACACUAGGUGUCGCGGGAAUCGACCCCGUCGGUGUCGUAGCCAACGCGUUAAGUGUUCCGCCUGGGGAGUACGCACGCAAGUGUGAAACUCAAAGGAAUUGACGGGGGCCCGCACAAGCGGUGGAGUAUGUGGUUUAAUUCGAUGCAACGCGAAGAACCUUACCAGGGUUUGACAUCCUGCGAACCCCCUGGAAACGGGGGGGUGCCUUCGGGAGCGCAGUGACAGGUGGUGCAUGGCUGUCGUCAGCUCGUGUCGUGAGAUGUUGGGUUAAGUCCCGCAACGAGCGCAACCCACGUCGUUAGUUGCCAGCAUUCAGUUGGGCACUCUAGCGAGACCGCCGGUGAUAAACCGGAGGAAGGUGUGGAUGACGUCAAGUCAUCAUGCCCCUUACAUCCUGGGCUACACACGUACUACAAUGCUACGGACAAAGGGCCGCAAGCUCGCGAGAGUUAGCAAAUCCCAUAAACCGUGGCUCAGUUCAGAUCGUAGGCUGCAACUCGCCUACGUGAAGGAGGAAUCGCUAGUAAUCGCAGGUCAGCAUACUGCGGUGAAUACGUUCCCGGGCCUUGUACACACCGCCCGUCACACCAUGGAAGUUGGCCACGCCCGAAGUCGUUACUCCAACCCGUAAGGGAGGAGA